CGGGCGCGGGGUGGGUUGGGGUCGUGCGGUGUCGCUGCGGCCGUUGGAGCUGAGGGGGCAGCGCCCCGCGUGUCCCCCGGGAUCUCUGCCCUCGUAGUUCACAACGUGGACUGUGUCCUAUCUACCAUUACUUCUGUUCAUGUCACAACUGAAAUACUAAUGAAAGUAUCCUGCCAAAACAAAUCUUCACGCAUAGAACAUCGCUAAUCCUCUGUGUUUCCCCUUCCUCCUGCAAAUGCGUGUGGCGGCCUUUCGUUUUUGCUUACAAACUAUUUCUGCAACAGUGAGAAGCAGCGUCGGCACUCAAGGUGCUGCCCCACACACCCGACGUGUGGUAACUCCAGACUCCCGCCCACGUGCCUCCGUGGAAAGGGACUGCUCAGCCUGGACAGAGAAGCAGCUGAGCCUCGGUGCUCACUUGCAUGCGCAUAGCUGCAGAACUGUUCGAGCUGAGAGGGCACCUCAGCUCCGGUGGGCCUUAGACUUUCUGAUUUAGCCUGAAGAGUGUUAGAAGAGUGGCACUGAGGCACACGAUGGUCUUUCAUUCCCUUGAAUGCUGCUGAGGGAGCAGAAGUAACAGCAGACUGCUAUGAGGAAGGUAGAAGACAAUAUUACAAGUGGCUCCUUCACUCCCAGAUGUCUCAGAUGUCACGUCUGGUUCAUUUGAAAGACCUGUCAGCUGAGAGCCGCUGCUGGCUCCCCACAAAGCAGGCAAAGCUCAAGCACCCACUUCCUGCAGGUUUGCUCCAUCAGAAUGGAUACACCACUGUGAGAGAAGUGAGCUUUAUAGAGCUGAAAAUACUGAUCGGUUCACCUACGACUGAAGUGCAACCACUCUUCAGCAGAAUUUCUCUGCUAGAAACACAUCUGCACACCCUUUAGGACAAGGAAUUAAUUAAAUCAGUAGAAUGUUUUCAGUAAUUUGGGUAGAUCCAAAACAACACACGCUUUCAUGCUUGUGUUAAAACUGGUAAAGCAGCGUAACAUACACUGAGAGUUCACAACGUACAUUGUCUAAAAUCAUAGAAUCAUAGAAUGGCUUGGAUUGAAAAGGACCACAAUGAUAAUUGAGUUUCAACCCCCCUGCUACAUACAGGGUCGCCAACCACCAGACCAGGCUGCCCAGAGCCACAUCCAGCCUGGCCUUGAAUAUCUCCAUGGAUGGGCAUCCACAACCUCCUUGGGCAGUGUAGGAAGGUGAAAUUUUAGACUAGACAAACAUUUGAUGAGAAAUCUACCAUGCCAGCAAACUUCUUGGAAGGUUAUUUUCUAAGUAAACUUGUAUUAU
ensembl:lncRNA